rnacentral:rRNA from 1 species
CGCCUCUUGUAACCCAUAAGAGGUCCAGCCUGCCCAGUGACUCUGUUCAACGGCCGCGGUAUCCUAACCGUGCAAAGGUAGCGUAAUCACUUGCCCUUUAAAUAAGGUCUAGUAUGAACGGCACCACGAAGGUUAAACUGUCUCCUUUUUCUAAUCAGUGAAACUAAUCUCCCCGUGAAAAAGCAGGGAUGAACCCAUAAGACGAGAAGACCCUAUGGAGCUUUAAAUAUUAACAACAUUUGUCACUCAAUCUUAUAAACAGCAUACAUGUUUGUUAAUUUUUGGUUGGGGCGACCACGGAGUAAAACUCAACCUCCCUGUUGAAACUUGCUAAGAACCACAAUUUAAGCACCAACAAACUGACAUCCAUUGACCCAAUAUUUUGAUCAACGAACCAAGUUACCCUAGGGAUAACAGCGCUAUCCACUUCAAGAGCUCUUAUCGACAAGUGGGCUUACGACCUCGAUGUUGGAUCAGGGUAUCCCAGUGGUGCAGCCACUACUAAAGGUUCGUUUGUUCAACGAUUAAAACCCUA